rnacentral:rRNA from 1 species
UACAGAGACUGCAAGCGUUACUCGGAAUCACUGGGCGUAAAGGGAGCGCAGGCGGACCGAUGUGUCGGGUGUGAAACUCCGGGGCUCAACCCCGGGACUGCGCCCGAAACUGUCGGUCUAGGGACUCGGAGGGGCUAGUGGAAUUCCCGGUGGAGCAGUGAAAUGCGUAGAUAUCGGGAGGAACACCAACGGCGAAGGCAGCUAGCUGGACGAGAUCCGACGCUCAGGCUCGAAAGUAUGGGGAGCAAAAAGG